CAGUAGCCGCGGUAACACAGAGGGUGCGAGCGUUAAUCGGAUUUACUGGGCGUAAAGCGUGCGUAGGCGGCUAAUUGAGUCGGAUGUGAAAUCCCCGAGCUUAACUUGGGAAUUGCAUUCGAUACUGGUUAGCUAGAGUGUGGGAGAGGAUGGUAGAAUUCCAGGUGUAGCGGUGAAAUGCGUAGAGAUCUGGAGGAAUACCGAUGGCGAAGGCAGCCAUCUGGCCUAACACUGACGCUGAGGUACGAAAGCAUGGGGAGCAAACAGGAUUAGAGACCCCUGUAGUCCCUGUCUCUUAUAC
rnacentral:rRNA from 1 species